rnacentral:rRNA from 1 species
UACGUAGGGGGCAAGCGUUAUCCGGAUUUACUGGGUGUAAAGGGAGCGUAGACGGCUGUGCAAGUUUGAAGUGAAAGGCAAGGGCUCAACCUUUGGACUGCUUUGAAAACUGUGCAGCUAGAGUGUCGGAGAGGUAAGUGGAAUUCCUAGUGUAGCGGUGAAAUGCGUAGAUAUUAGGAGGAACACCAGUGGCGAAGGCGGCUUACUGGACGAUGACUGACGUUGAGGCUCGAAAGCGUGGGGAGCAA